CAGGUUACCAUAGCAACCGCCUAGCAACCACCCAGAACACCCUAGCAACCGCCUAGCAACACCUUAGCAACCACCCCAAGUACCUUAGCAACUGCCUAGCAACCGCCUAGCAACCACCCAGAACACCCUAGCAACCGCCUAGCAACACCGUAGCAACUGCCCCAAGUACCUUAGCAACUGCCUAGCAACACCCUAGCAACCACCCAGGUUACCAUAGCAACCGCCUAGCAACCACCCAGAACACCCUAGCAACCGCCUAGCAACACCUUAGCAACCACCCCAAGUACCUUAGCAACUGCCUAGCAACACCCUAGCAACCACCCAGGUUACCAUAGCAACCGCCUAGCAACCACCCAGAACACCUUAGCAAUUGCCUAGAAACACCCUAGCAACCGAGUGCCGAGUUUUGCCACUGCAAGCACCAUUCACAUUUUCUUCAGGAAAUGUACAUUCUAGUUAAUGGUGCUUGCCAAAGGCAAAGCAUCAUUAUUGUUCUCCUGCAUACUUAUUAUUAUUAUUAUUAUUAUUAUUCUUCUUCUUCUUCUGGACAAAAACUUCGGCGCGUAACUUGUCCCGCAGUUUUUGUCCUAGACCCAUGAAUGAGGUGUCAAAUCGACCGGCUCAUUGAGGAGAGGUGUGCUAUGACUUUUAUAAGCGAUCGGCCCAACGAUGUUCGCACAGGGGGCGAAAAAGCGGCCAAAAAAGUCCCAUUGACUUUCAAUGGCGGAAUGUUCAGAAAUUUGAAUCUCAACUGUCACUUUCUCACACACGCACACACACGCAGGGCCUUAGAACCCUUUCUCUCACUCACUCACAUCUCUCACUAUUGAUCACAGUGUCAUAGAGACAAGGGGGCGGGCUCAUUUCACUCAGGCAACCAAUCAGUCUCUCAGGAUCAAUGUGACGCUAUCAAGCCACGCCCUAGCAACCAUAUAGAGCACCAUAGCAACAGGUUCCAUAGACUUCCAUUCAAAAAGAUCAAAGAUAUUCCUUUGGAUAGAAGUGUCAUAGGAACAUGAGGGUGGGCUCAUUUGACUCAGGACAGCAAACGGCCAAUCACGAAUCACCUUCAAGACUUCAUAGCCACGCCCUAGCAACCAUUUAGAGCACCCUAGCAACCCAAAGCAUAGAGGGAUAUCUUCAAAUCUGAAUAUCAUAGAGGCAUGGGGGUUGGUUUAUAUCAUUCAUACUGGCAAGCAGCCUUUGGAGUAUCAUCAUUGGUAGCUGCCAAGCCACUCCCUAGCAACCAAAUAGAGUACCCUAGCAACCGUUUUGCAAGACCUAUAUCUCUGCAUCAGAACAUCGUAGAGACAUGGCGGUUGGCUCUUUUGACUCAUGCUAGCAAACUGGACUUCCAACAUGCUACACAUGCUAGCAGUGAAUAGCUACAUGCUAAUAGUGAUUAGCUAAGUGCUAAAGUGUCUAAGAACAUGCUAAGAACUCUAUAAAAACACCAUAGUAACCAUCUGUGACAACUACCAACCACCUAGUAACAUCAUAGCAACCACCCAGGUUACCAUAGCAACUGCCUAGCAACCACCCAUAACACCCUAGCAACCGCCUAGCAACACCUUAGCAACUGCCCCAAGUACCUUACCAACUGCCUAGCAACACCCUAGCAACCACCCAGGUUACCAUAGCAACCGCCUAGCAACCACCCAGAACACCUUAGCAACCGCCUAGCAACACCUUAGCAACCACCCCAAGUACCUUAGCAACUGCCUAGCAACAGCCUAGCAACCACCCAGGUUACCAUAGCAACCGCCUAGCAACCACCCAGAACACCCUAGCAACCGCCUAGCAACACCUUAGCAACCACCCCAAGUACCUUAGCAACUGCCUAGCAACCGCCUAGCAACCACUCAGGUUACCAUAGCAACCGCCUAGCAACCACCCAGAACACCCUAGCAACCGCCUAGCAACACCUUAGCAACCACCCCAAGUACCUUAGCAACUGCCUAGCAACACCCUAGCAACCACCCAGGUUACCAUAGCAACCGCCUAGCAAUCACCCAGAACACCUUAGCAAUUGCCUAGAAACACCCUAGCAACCGAGUGCCGAGUUUUGCCACUGCAAGCACCAUUCACAUUUUCUUCAGGAAAUGUACAUUCUAGUAUUGUAAUUAUUAUUCACCUGAACAAAACUUUGGCGCGUAACUCGUCCCGCACCGUUUGUCGUAGAUCGAUGAAUGAGGUGUCAAAUCGACCGGUUUAUUGAGGAGAGGUGUGCUAUGACUUUUCUAAGCAAUCGGGUGUACGAUGUUCACACAGCGUACGAAAAAUCGGCUGAAAAAAGUCCCAUAGACUUAACAUUGCCACAAAAUCUGUGAGAUCAUAUCUUUGGAUCAGAAGGUCAUAGAGACUUGGGGCUGGGCUCUUUUGACUCGGCCAGCCAAUAGGUAGUGACACAGCAACUUCAUAGCCACGCCCUAGCAACCAAUUACAGCACCCUAGCAACCGAGUGGCGAAUUUUGCCACUGCAAGCACCAUUCACAUUUUCUUCAGGAAAUGUACAUUCUAGUUAAUGGUGCUUGCCUCUGGCAAAGCAUCAUUAUUGUUCUCCUGCAUACUUAUUAUUAUUAUUAAUGGUGCUUGCCAAAGGCAAAGCAUCAUUAUUGUUCUCCUGCAUACUUAUUAUUAUUAUUAUUAUUAUUAUUCUUCUUCUUCUUCUGGACAAAAACUUCGGCGCGUAACUUGUCCCGCAGUUUUUGUCCUAGACCCAUGAAUGAGGUGUCAAAUCGACCGGCUCAUUGAGGAGAGGUGUGCUAUGACUUUUAUAAGCGAUCGGGUGUACGAUGUUCGCCCGGCGGGCGAAAAAGUAGCCGAAAAAUCCCAUUGACUUAACAUUGCGACAAACUUUGACGAGUCAUAGCUCCUAACGAGAAUUUCGUAGAAACAUGUGGGUUACCACGUUUGAAGAGGCUGACAGUCUCUGUCAGACCAUACCUCAAAAUGGGGUGUAAGUUGUACCCCUGGGGCGCAAGAGCUGCCCAAAUUUGCCCCAUAGACUUACUAUGGUGAAGCCGUGCCCAUGAAACAGUGUGUUUUUCCUACUAUGGGAAAUUACAUAGAGAUUUUGUAUUGAACAUAACUCUGGAUCACAGUGUCAUAGAGACAAGGGGGUGGGCUCAUUUUACUCAGGCAACCAAUCAGUCUCUCAGGAUCAUUUUGAAGCUAUCAAACCACGCCCUAGCAACCAUAUAGAGCACCAUAGCAACAAGUUCCAUAGACUUCCAUUCAAAAAGAUCAAAGAUAGUCCUUUGGAUAGAAGUGUCAUAGGAACAUGAGGGUGGGCUCAUUUGACUCGGGACAGCAAACGGCCAAUCACGAAUCACCUUCAAGACUUCAUAGCCACGCCCUAGCAACUAUUUAGAGCACCCUAGCAACCCAAAGCAUAGAGGGAUAUCUUCAAAUCUGAAUAUCAUAGAGGCAUGGGGGUUGAUUUAUAUCAUUCAUACUGGCAAGCAGCCUUUGGAGUAUCAUCACUGGCAGCUGCCAAGCCACUCCCUAGCAACCAAACAGAGUACCCUAGCAACCGUUUAGCAAGACCUAUAUCUCUGUAUCAGAGCAUCGUAGAGACAUGGCGGUUGGCUUAUAUUGGCAAGCAGCCUUUGGUGUAUCAUCAUUGGCAGCCGCUUAGCCACUCCCUAGCAACCAAACAGAGUACCCUAGCAACCCAAAGCAUAGAGGGAUAUCUUCAAAUCUGAAUAUCAUAGAGGCAUGGGGGUUGAUUUAUAUCAUUCAUACUGGCAAGCAGCCUUUGGUGUAUCAUCAUUGGCAGCUGCCAAGCCACUCCAUAGCAACCAAACAGAGUACCCUAGCAACCGUUUUACAAGACCUAUAUCUCUGCAUCAGAGCAUCAUAGAGACAUGGCGGUUGGCUCUUUUUACUCAUGCUAGCAAACUGGACUUCCAACAUGCUAAACAUGCUAGCAGUGAAUAGCUACAUGCUAAUGGUGAUUAGCUAAGUGCUAAAGUGGGCUAAGAACAUGCUAAGAACUCUAUAAAAACACCAUAGUAACCAUCUGUGACAGCUACCAACCACCUAGUAACAUCAUAGCAACCACCCAGGUUACCAUAGCAACUGCCUAGCAACCACCCAUAACACCCUAGCAACCACCUAGCAACACCGUAGCAACUGCCCCAAGUACCUUAUCAACUGCCUAGCAACACCCUAGCAACCACCCAGGUUACCAUAGCAACCGCAUAGCAACCACCCAGAACACCCUAGCAACCGCCUAGCAACACCUUAGCAACUACCCCAAGUACCUUAGCAACUGCCUAGCAACACCCUAGCAACCACCCAGGUUACCAUAGCAACCGCCUAGCAACCACCCAGAACACCCUAGCAACCGCCUAGCAACACCUUAGCAACCACCCCAAGUACCUUAGCAACUGCCUAGCAACACCCUAGCAACCACCCAGGUUACCAUAGCAACCGCCUAGCAACCACCCAGAACACCUUAGCAAUUGCCCAGAAACACCCUAGCAACCGAGUGCCGAGUUUUGCCACUGCAA